ensembl:lncRNA
UAGUGCGUCAUAAGAGGAAGCAUCACCUCACGGCGAGUGCACAGCCGUCGCGCGGCAAACGGAACACAGCACUGCCAUCUAUCUCAUGCUGCUGCUCUAAACAAAUCCCUGUCUCUAAUCCUCAAAUGCAACCAUUUACAUUCCCUUUCAAGGUCCGACAACAAAGGAAUGCUACACUAAGGCGGCUCGAGGGAGUUCAACGCGGGAUUCACAAAGCGAUUUCUGUUGAAAGAUGGAUCAGUAUCCUGUUUAUUUGGACCAGCUGCUCCACUGAAUCACAACCCAAUGUCACAUCUGUCUCCAUGGCUGCGGAAAGCUCAUCUCUCCUAUGCUGAUCCGAGACCAGCCUCUCUAGAUGAACCCAAACAAGAGCCAUUGUGAAGGAGAAUUAAUGUCAUACAGAUUUGGAAUGACAUUAGACAAAGACAAACUCAUUUCCAUAUAAAUGGAGUGUAGGCCUGCAGCCCAGGGACCAGGCAGAAUUGCAAAUAUUUCAUUUCUUGCCUGGAGAGCCCGCUGCUGUUUCUUAGUCGCCAUCAGCCAUUGCUUCAUUCCCACCUUCUCUCUCUCUCAUCAAGCUGCUUCAUUCUCGUGCUGUUAUGCACACCUGACCACAUCCCCCAAGCACCUGCGGGGGUCAAAGAGGCCACUCUGGCUGUGAUCACCCAUCAGUUGUUGUAGCCAGGUUUGAAUGCAGAGAAUGCCAGGAGAGCUUUGGCUAAACCAGGGGGGUGAGCAGACUCUCUCUCUCUCUCGCUCUGUAUCCUUCACCAUCCACCCACAAUGCCUUUCUGUUUUUAU